CCCUUAGAUGUUCUGGGCCGCACACGCGCUACACUGAAGGAGGCAGCGUGUACUCCUGGAUCGAAAGAUUUGGGUAACCCGCGAAUCUCCUUCGUGCUAGGGAUUGAGGUUUGCAAUUAUCCUUCAUGAACGAGGAAUUCCCAGUAAGUGCAAGUCAUAAGCUUGCGCUGACUACGUCCCUGCCCUUUGUACACACCGCCCGUCGCUACUACCGAUUGAAUGAUUCGGUGAAUAAUUCGGACUGCAGCAAUGUUUGGAUCCCGAACGUUGCAGCGGAAAGUUUAGUGAACCUCAUCACUUAGAGGAAGGAGAAGUCGUAACA
rnacentral:rRNA from 1 species